AGUCUCCAAGUCCCCAGUAACUCUAAACACUGGUCGGAGUGGUUACCAAAGGAGGAAAGGUACCAUUGAAACGGUCUUUAGCGCUUUAGUAGCAUAUGGACUCGUUUCAAACAAAC
rnacentral:snoRNA from 1 species